CAGCAGCCGCGGUAAAACAGAGGGUGCAAGCGUUAAUCGGAAUUACUGGGCGUAAAGCGCGCGUAGGUGGUUUGUUAAGUUGGAUGUGAAAUCCCCGGGCUCAACCUGGGAACUGCAUCCAAAACUGGCAAGCUAGAGUAUGGUAGAGGGUGGUGGAAUUUCCUGUGUAGCGGUGAAAUGCGUAGAUAUAGGAAGGAACACCAGUGGCGAAGGCGACCACCUGGACUGAUACUGACACUGAGGUGCGAAAGCGUGGGGAGCAAACAGGAUUAGAUACCCCAGUAGUCCCUGUCUCUUAUAC
rnacentral:rRNA from 1 species